AUUGAACGCUGGCGGCAUGCUUUACACAUGCAAGUCGAACGGCAGCGCGGGCUUCGGCCUGGCGGCGAGUGGCGAACGGGUGAGUAAUACAUCGGAACGUGCCCAGUAGUGGGGGAUAGCUCGGCGAAAGCCGGAUUAAUACCGCAUACGACCUGAGGGUGAAAGCGGGGGAGCUUCGGACCUCGCGCUAUUGCAGCGGCCGAUGGCAGAUUAGCUAGUUGGUGGGGUAAAGGCCUACCAAGGCGACGAUCUGUAGCUGGUCUGAGAGGACGACCAGCCACACUGGGACUGAGACACGGCCCAGACUCCUACGGGAGGCAGCAGUGGGGAAUUUUGGACAAUGGGCGAAAGCCUGAUCCAGCAAUGCCGCGUGUGUGAUGAAGGCCUUCGGGUUGUAAAGCACUUUUGGCGGGAACGAAAAGGACUGUGCCAAUACCACGGUUCGAUGACGGUACCCGCAGAAUAAGCACCGGCUAACUACGUG
rnacentral:rRNA from 1 species